GAGAUACUCCCUCCGUCUCAUAUUAAAUGACUAAAAUUUGCCCAAAUAUGAAUGUAUUUAUACUCAAAAUGCAUCUAGAUACAUGUAAUAUUUGGUCACUUAAUAUGAGACGGAGGAAUUAGUAU
rnacentral:pre_miRNA from 1 species